rnacentral:rRNA from 1 species
UCGGGAAUUUUGGGCAAUGGGCGAAAGCCUGACCCAGCAACGCCGCGUGAAGGAUGAAGUAUUUCGGUAUGUAAACUUCGUAAGAAUAGGAAGAAUAAAUGACGGUACUAUUUGUAAGGUCCGGCUAACUACGUGCCAGCAGCCGCGGUAAUACGUAGGGACCAAGCGUUGUUCGGAUUUACUGGGCGUAAAGGGCGCGUAGGCGGUUUGUCAAGUCAGUUGUGAAAUCUCCGAGCUUAACUCGGAACGGUCAACUGAUACUGUCAAACUAGAGUACAGAAGGGGCAAUCGGAAUUCUUGGUGUAGCGGUGAAAUGCGUAGAUAUCAAGAGGAACACCUGAGGCGAAGGCGGGUUGCUGGGCUGACACUGACGCUGAGGCGCGAAAGCCAGGGGAGCAAACGGGAUUAGAUACCCCUGUAGUCCCUGAGCGGGCUGGCAAGGCGCAU